AACGGUCUAUACCUGCGGUACCUGCGGAGGGAUCAUUACUGAAUUGAUUUUGGGGAUGUUGCUGGUCUCUUGAGGCAAUGGUGCACUCCCUCAAACAUUUCACAAUUUCCAUCUUACCAUGUGCACAUCCUGUAGGUGGUCUCCCAACCCACCCUCCAAGGAAAGGGGGGGAGUGUGUGGGUCUGGUCUCCUAUGUAUUUCCUUGCCAACAUCACACGUUUUGACUGAAUGAAUCCUGUG
rnacentral:misc_RNA from 1 species